rnacentral:lncRNA from 1 species
AGUCUUCCCGGAAAGUGUGCGAGUGAGGACAAAGCACACUGGAAAGCCUUGUGGUGAUGUGUGUGGGCAGUCAACAGUCCCUGUAAGUUGCCGGGGUGUUACAAAUGGUAUCAGAGCCUAGCCUCUCCCAGUACGGUGUGGUUUGAGGACGAACCAGAUGGAAGCUGGUGGGCAUGUGACACCCGGGCACUGACGAAGGCGGGGAGUGAUCGCCGGUGCAAGAGGCAUGGUGCAGGGGGCACGGACAAGGAGCGGCUCCUGGCAG